CGUCCUGGGAUGGCCUGGAGCAUCCUGGGGCUGCCUGGGGCGUCUUGGGGCAUCCUGGGGUAUCCUGCAGCAUUCUGGGGUGUCCUGGGGUAUCCUGUGACGGCCUGGGGUGUCCUGGGGCCUCCUGGGGCGUCCUGGGGUGGCCUGGAGCCUCCUGGGGCCUCCUGGGGUGUCCUGGGGCGGCCUGGGGCACCCUGGGGCCUCCUGGAGCAUCCUGGGGUGGCCUGGAGCAUCCUGGGGCUGCCUGGGACGUCUUGGGGCACCCUGGGGUAUCCUGGAGCAUCCUGGAGUGGCCUGGGGCAUCCUGGGGUGGCCUGGGGCCUCCUGGGGCCCCUGCGGUCGCUUGUGUUUUCUCGCACUCUCCAUGGGGAGCUGCUGUGGAGGCAGGAGACGGGCACGCAGCAGCACACCUGGGCUGGCGACGUGGUGCGCCUGGCACCAGCGUCUGACCACGUGGCAGGCAGAAUCGCCAGGAGCAAGUCACCUUUCUAAGGUCUGGAGGUCAAUCUGCACUGCCACCCACCUCGGGGUGGCAGGACACCCGUACAGGGACACGAGGUGAUGCUGGUGUCGGGAGCCAUCCUGGUGACCAUGCAUUCUCGCCAUGCGGUGCCUGUGACCAGGCUUUCUGUGAAGCCUGCAGGUAGCCAGUGCCACGGCAGGUCAGCUCAUGUGGGACCACAGUGACCGGGGAGCGGCCGCUGGGGACCAGGAGGCCCAGGAGAAGCGGGCGAGCUGAGCCGGGCUUCUUGGUUCUCUGCCUGACACUGGGCCCCAUCCUGCACCCAGCCACCAUGCCCGAGGACACACUGGGUGCUGGAAAGGUCAUGGCCUGUUUGAGGCUGAGACCGCAGGCCCCACAAGCAGCACUAAGCAGCUGCCUUGGGAGGAGACACGCUCCUGGACAAGCAGCCGUCAAGAUCUUCCUGACCCCUCGGGGCAGGGCCACGUGGAGGAGGGGGCCACGUGGAGAUGGGGGCAGAGGACCACGGCCAUCUCGCCCCAUGCCCCCGAGGAGUGGGCUGUCCACCUGUGGCCUCCCCCAGGAUGGGCUCCCACCUCAGGGCCCUCUGCCUUUCCCUGGAGGCUCUGUGACCCCAGCCACACCCUGGAGGAAGUGUGGGUGCAGGGCCCACGGCGGCACCGUGCUCCUGCUGGACCAGCGGUGUGGCCUGCACAUCCAUCAGGCGCCCUGACAGCCCUGCCCUGCUGUCCUGCCUUGCGGGCCUGAGCAGCAUCUGUCAGUGUGGAAGUGACAAAGGGCGUCCCUUCCAGGCCCACCUCCUGAGCCAGCUCUGAAUCAGUGUCCUUUCUCCGCGGCCACAGGGACACCACUCCAUCUCUUUCCAGUGUCACUUCUCUCACUCGCUGUGGGGAAAUGGCGUGAGGAGAUGGACUGUGGAAAUGGCCCCAGGGUCAGGAACGGGGUGAGGCCACGUCUCCUGCCAGCCUGGGGGCUGGGGCCUCCCGCUGUCCUCCGAGUGUGGACUCAGACUUGGAGGUGGAGGACGCAGCUCUGCAGGGUCCAGGAGAACCGGCCCCCGGGAGGUGGAGGCUCCUGGGCUUGGUGCCGCCUGCCCUGACAGUGGCCAGUGUCCCUGACCUUCAUGGCCAGCAGGACGCUGCUCCACGGGACGUCCAGGCAGGGGUGUUUCCACAGGUAGAAGGGUGACUGCUGUGUCCUCGUCUCCUCAGGGACACGCGGGUCUCUCCCUCCUCAGGGCUGUGCUCCGUCAGUGCCCCCUUCUGCUUUCCUGGGACGUGGGGUGGGGCCAGCUAGUUGAUCAGUGCACGCCAGGUGUCCUUGCAGGGGCAGGAUGCGCCGUCCCUGGUCCUGUUGGUUCCAGGUGUGGGCCCCACCUCUGAGGCCCUGGGAGUCGGCUUGUGCUCCGGUGCUGGAGCGUGGGCUUGGGCCUGGGCAGCCAGAACCAGCCGCCAAAGGUGGAGGGGGGGCAGGGUGUGCAGGGAGGGCUUGCCUGUGGCCCACGGCAGGGCGAGGCCCGUCCCGUGGAGGGCAGUGGUGCUGAGGGUGUGUGGUGGCCACAUGGCGGCCACCGUGGUGAGGAAACCCAGCCUGGGAGAAGACUCCCCAGGCUCACGUAGGUCGCAGCCCUGGGGAACCUGGGCCUCCAGGGACGUCCACCUUCCCUGUAGCCCUGCGCUUGGCAGGGACAGGGACACGGGGACCCAGGGCUGCCCUCCAGAUGCCUGGACUUGAGCAGAUGGCCCUGGCUGGGGGCGAGGCAGUCACGGGGUCCUUAUCACUGCGAGGAGAGGCCCUGAGGGCAGGGCAGAGGGAGGUCAGUUAGGAGUGUGGGUUCUGAUCCUGGCUGUGUGGUGCCAGGGACGGAACCCAGGCCGCACCUGCUAGGCAAGGGUCCUGCCGCCCAGCUGCACCCUGCUCCUUGGCCCGACGCUAGGGAGCAGGAGGGAACCAGCCCGGGCGGAUGGCAGGGCUGGGCAGGGAUGGUCGGGUCAGCAAAGCCUGGCAGGCAGCUGCAGAGGGAGGGUGGGCUCCCCGGGCACCAUGUCUAGUGUCCACUUUGAGGGGCCAAGCAGGAAGAGCGUCCGGAGGGCCUGGUGCAGCCUCAGGGCAGAGGCUCAGUGGGCCGUGGGGGGCGGUGCAGAGGCAGGUGGGUUGGCUCCCCACCUCCCGCCUGCGGAGUCAGCGGGCUGUUGGCUCUGCACGGAGCCCCCUCAGCACAGCCAGGUUCAGGGGCCCAGCUCAGAUGACCGCUGGCCGGGCCUACCCUGGGCUGCCGUGAGUGUUUACUGACUCUGCCCUGAAGCCCGGUUCGCACACCCUGACGGCGGGCCCUCCCAGGCGGGCCGUGUGGGUUGCGUCCCCCUCCACGCUGGCUGCGGGAGGAUCUUUGCCCGCGACACACAUGUGGGCCCGGGUCUGGCCCACGCUCGCUUUUUGGCCCUCUUGCCCUUGGUGAGUGGAAUAACUGGUCACCAGUGUCUCAUCGGUCUCGCUGGACACUGCCUUGAGGUCUGUCCCUGUCCCUUGCCUGGCUGUCUUCUGCUCAGUCUCAUCGUCAGGUUUAUAGAGUCUGUAGGGGACUGUGUAGCCUCCCCCACCGUGGCCCUGCCCCACUGCCCCAGCCCUGGGGACCGUUUCCUGUGCGGGUGCAGCUGCUGGUGGUGGACGAUGGGAAGUGAAGCCAGGCCACCACUGACCCUCAGCACUCCACCGUCUUCCCCCAGGCUUCGGACUCCGCAGGCGGAGAGGGGGAGCCCUGGGUCAGGCCUGCCCCGAGGGACUGGGGCAUGUGUCCCUCAGCUCGGCCACUGUGGCCUGCAGUCAGUCACAUCAGGAGCCUCGUGCUGCGGGGGGCUUGGUGGAGUCAGAGCCGUGAUUGUGGCCGGGUGGGGGCCGCCUGGGCAGGGGCUGAUGGACCUGCUCUCAGAAUCCUGGACCAGCCACCGGAAGGACGAGUGGGACGUGGAUGGCAGAGGGCAUGGCAGAAAGAGCGUCAGGGAAGUCACAGGCCAGGUGUCCCUGGUUCCCUGGAGGUGACAGGACCAGUGACAGGGAGCAUGCUGUGGGAGGAGGGCCCCAGGCAGCGGUGAGGAAAGGGAGGCCCGGAGCAGGAGGCCUGGCCGAGGUCUGAGAUGAAAGGCCAGAGGCAGUGGACGUGGAGAGGAAAGGUUGGGAGGGUCACAGUCCAGGCCUAGGAGCCUUGGCACGGGCCACCCUGGCUGCUCCACCUCAUGGCUUGGGUGGCAGUGGCCAGGAGCAUGUGUUGGGGACAAGCCAUCAAUUUCACAUCCAGUGGAGCAGGGGGAGAGGAGGGCACAGGGCCAGGGGCCCCUCUGAGAGGAUGCCCCGUGACCCCAGGACCUGCUCUAGGCCCACUCCAGAGCCCACAGCGCCUCCCAGUGGUGCCCCUGGGGAUGCAGCUGAGGCAUAAGGCUGCGCUCCAGCUGCUGGCAGGCGCCCGGGAGGCAUGGAGGCCGGGAGGCAUGGAGGGCCGGGAGGCAUGGAGGCCCGGGAGGCAUGGAGUGGCCACACUGUGGGGCUACUUCAAGAUUCCCCUGUCUGGGCUUUUCUUGCUUUUUGAACCCUAAGACCUGAGAGAUGAAGGGAAGGGGAUGUUUGAGCAUUUUUAAUUAUUAAAAAAUUCUUUUUAAGUUCUGAUAUUGUUCAAUAAUUAACUUUCUUUAGAUCCUGCUGUUUCUCAGGUGGAAACUUAAAGGCAAAUGGCAGAGUCAAAAAGAAAGAAAAUCAACAAUCAUCAGCCCUCCCCAGAAGCCCCAACCAGGCGUGCUCUGCCCUGCCGUGUCCAGGGCACCGGGUGGGCCUUGCAGGUUGGGGGCUGGUCUCCUGUGGCCACCCUUGCCACUCUCAGGCAGGACCAUGGCGCAGUCUGACAGGCCCUCUGCCCCCAGCAGGCUCAGCCAGCUGCUGCAGCAGCAGAGGCCCUCGGCCGAGGGCGGCCCGCGCUGGGGGCUCACAGAGGGGAGCACGAGGUGGGGGGAGGCAGCAGGCAGGGUGUCCGUCUCCCCCAGUGUGGCAGAGGCCAGGGUCAGUGCGCUGUUCUGCCCCCCAGCUGCAGCACGUGUGGAGGUGGGGGGCCAGGGCUGGGCCCAUGUGCCCUGGGGUCCCUGCUCAGCCCCUUCUGAGCCUGUGGAUGUCACUGGGUGUGGCUUUAGGAACCUCACACCCUGUUCCCUGUGGCUCUCAGACUCUGGGGUUGAAGCCCAAGCCUCAGGGGUGGCAGUGGGGGUGGGGACUUUAGGAGACGUCUCGAGGGCGCAGCUCUUGAUGGGAUUGGUGCCCAGAGCUCUGCCACUCGAGGACAUGGAGUGGUGGCUGUCUGCAGGCUGGGAGGAGGCCUUGACCUUGGGCUUCCGUUCUCCAGGCUAAGGCCGGACCUUCGGUGGGCUGAGCCGUGGCCUGUGCGUCCUGUCACUUGUGGCCGGAGCAGACAGAGCCCUGGUCCUGGGCACUGGCAGGGUCUGCAGGCGGCUUCCCUCCACGCUGGGCACGCCUGACAAG